UCCCUGGCAGUCCAGUCGUUAAGACUCCACACUUCCAAUGCAGGGACACAGGUUCAAUCCCUGACCAGAGAA
rnacentral:tRNA from 1 species